UGCACUGUUUUCAAACAGAUUUUUUAUUAUUUUUAAUUUCAGGUUUUAAAUUGGCUUUAAUGUUAUUGAUUUUUAAUUAAACAUUUUUAUGUUAACCAUUUGUAUGUUUUAGCCAUAUGUGUUAUGAUUGAGCCUCGUGGCUCUGUUACUGACAGGCGUGGGCGUAAGACUCCUCGAGAGUCAGAUACUCUCGAGGAGCGAGAGAGAAAAAGACUGCGAGACAUAUUUGCAGCACCAUCUGAUGAAAAGUCUUUCGAGGGGUUUACGGAGAGAAUGGAGGAGGGGCAGGUUAGCUCGGAGGAGGAUGAGAUGGAUUGGACUCGGGUAAGGGAGGAAUUGGGUGCCACUGGCCAUGAUGGGGCAGAAGAUGAAUGGGGACCUUCAGGAUCAGAUCCAUGGCUUAGCUGGAGGGAUGGGACGGGAUCCACAGCUGGAGAUGUUGCUGGGCGUAGUCAGAGGUGUUCCAGCUCUGACGAGGAAAGUGAUGAGGAAACGCCCGGGUUAAGGAGGACAGCUGACAGUGAUGAAGAUUUGUAACUGGCAUAAAAUGGGGCUUGAGAGCAAUUGCAAAUUGCGUUGGGCAAGGUAAUCUGGGCAAACGCUUGGGAUCCGUGUGUGUGUGGGACGCUUCCCUGAAGACUUGUGUGCUUUCCUGUGCUGAGACCUUGACCUUCCGUCGUCUUCUUGACGGACGCCAUCUCCUGCUUUGAAUACCCGGACUGAACUGACCACGGCUUGGCUUCAUCCCCUUCUUGGACUUGGGAAAACUACAAACGUCUGCUUCUGGCUUUGAACUACGGAACGGAACUGGUCUACUCUACUGUUGCAUUCCCUGGCUGAUUUGUUCGUGCUGGAAAUCCUGUCUGCUGUGUGUGUGUGGGAGCGACGCAAGUUACUGUAAACACUGUGUUGGCAGCAGAGAGGAAUCUGCUGCCAAUUAGCUGCAUUCUUUGUAUCUUUUGUUCUUGGCUCUCGUUUUGUUUAUAUUCAGGCUGAAGCAAGCAGUUUGUUUUUUACCCGGAUUAAACUCCGGUUUAAUCCGGUUUAUCUUUUGAACAUUUAUUUUGCCCCUUUUUGCUCCUAAAGGCAAAUACUGCCUGGCCCUUGUGUUUUACGGGCUUGUUUUGAGUUCUGUAACCUAAUAAACUCUGUUACUUUGAA